UUGCGGCCAUAUUCCAUUGAAACACCGAUUCCCAUACGAUCACCGAAGUUGAGCAAAAUUGUGUCUAGUCAGUACAUAGAUGGGUAACCGUUUGGGAAUACCAGUUGCUA